UUACGCCUGACAUGCACUGAAAGUUUUGGCGCAAUCAUGCCACUAUGCAGGACAUAUUCAGCAUAACGUGAAUUUUUCCAGUCUGGAGCCAAAUAGUAAUGUCAGCACUGAGAAAUUAGGAUGUUGUCAACAUAACCUUCAACAUAUUUGUCAAUUUUAGUUACAAUUUAUCACUAAUGGGUACCUAUUGUUAUCAUUUGGUAGGUACCUACAUUGCAUCCUAGCUUGUCAUCAUAGCAAACAUGCAGAUAUCUAAAGAAAUGUUUGUUGGUCCUUCUAAGCUGUUGAAAUUUCUCCACAGUCAACACUUAUGCAGUAUGCUGGGAGCACAAAACGAAGGCAUCCGUGGAAGGAACAGCAAUGCUGGGAGCAGGCUGUUCGCAGAAAGUGAUCAAGCGCGCAAGCCACCAGCCAGCUGACGCAGAGCCCAGAGGGCGUUCGCCACCAACAUCCGCACGGCGCAGCUGCAGAGAUGAUUUCUGCCAUGGAGCAGCAUCCGCGGCUCCAUAACAUCAUCCUUCCAUCAUUCUCCAUCAUCAUUCCCGGAGCUCACCCGGCGGCGCCCGCGCCCCGCCUGGCCGUCCAGCUUGCGCGCUCCGCCGCGCGCCGCGGGCCCGGCUCGCCGGAACGUCCGGCUUAGUUCGGCGUUUGAGGCGCGGCGGGGGGCACCGUCUCUGUGCCCUGCUCCGGGUCCCCGCCGCCUGCGGUCUCUUCUGCUGCCGCCACUGAGGGGAGCGGCUCUUCUUUGAAGACGGCAUCGGUCGACGGUGAUGCUGGCGGGCCGGUGGCGGCGUGCCCCGUCGGCAGCGCGCCUCGGGAGGACGCUGGUGACGACGAAUCUUCAUCGCCGUCGGCACCGGUCGCGAGCGAGUCGCUGUUUAGUUGGCCUGCUACAGACUUUGCUGUGCCAAAAAGUGCGACUGUGGCCAGACUGGUAUACGAUUUGUCAGUGCUUACGCCCCUCUUGCCGUGCCGGCCGUGCUCUUUGCCGUCUAUUGAGGAUGCGUUAGAGUUAUCGUUUUGGGGUUUUAUACCGGUAUCAAGAUUGAUUUAAAAGAUGGAUUUCAUCACAUUCCUCGCGCACGUUCCACACGUCCUUUUGGUGUUUUGUAUGAUGGUAAAACGUGCUUAUACCUUUUCUCUGUUACCAAUGGGCCCUAUUAGGUACUGCAUCUCCUGCAUUAUUAGGUAGAGAUGCAGUACCAUUAUUAGGUACUGCAUUAUUAGGUACUGAAGGAGAUGCAGUUAGGUACUGCAUCUCCUUCGGAGAUGCAGUACCUAACAGAUGCUUUCAAGCCUUUCAGUGAACUUGUAGAGAUUUAACGUCAGGUGUUUGGCGUAUUUAGAUGAUUUUCUUUUUAUGUCCAAGGACGCUGAAUGGUAUCGCUGCGUUUCUGACUAGUGUUGGGUUGUGUAUUAAUUUCAAUAAAUUAGUUCUCGUUCCGUC